rnacentral:rRNA from 1 species
GAUGAAUGCUGGCGGCGUGCCUAACACAUGCAAGUCGAGCGGCAGCGAGGGGUGCUUGCACCCUGUCGGCGAGCGGCGAACGGCUGAGUAACGCGUAGGAAUUUGCCCCAAAGUGAGGAAUAACUGCCCGAAAGGGUAGCUAAUGCCGCAUAUGGUCUUCGGAUUAAAGGAUUUAUCCGCUUUGGGAGAAGCCUGCGUUGGAUUAGGUUGUUGGUAGGGUAAUGGCCUACCAAGCCGACGAUCCAUAGCUGGUCUGUGAGGAUGAUCAGCCAGACUGGAACUGAGACACGGUCCAGACUCCUACGGGAGGCAGCAGUGAGGAAUCUUCCACAAUGGGCGAAAGCCUGAUGGAGCAACGCCGCGUGAAGGAUGAAGGCCUUCGGGUUGUAAACUUCUUUUAUGAGUGAAGAAUAUGACGGUAACUCAUGAAUAAGCACCGGCUAACUACGUG